UUAAGGGCAACAUCAUCAGGAAGCCCAGGAAUUAAAGGUUCAUCUUGGAGAGAUAACUCAAUCUCUGAUGAACGACUUAACAAGGAAGAUUGGAUCAUAGCUAAUUUAAACUUAGGAGAUAAUUUCAUUUGGGAAUCCCCUAGCUUAUGUACAGGUGCUUGUUCAGAGGACAUUCGAACUCUUUGCAUCUUGGUGUGUUGAGGGUGAAAAAACCAAACCUUUAAAAUACACUGAGAAGGCCCUCGUUCUGAUAGAAAUAUCCUGUCUAUGCUGUCCCCUAAUUGUUACAUUGAAGAAUCACAUUGGACAGUCAAAUUCAAGUCCACAGCAAGGGGUCUAUUCCAAGUCCUCAAUUACUUAUUGCUCUACUGUUUUAGCGCAAAGAAGGGAAUUCUCCCUCAUAAGAAAUUAAACAAAGCGAUGCACCGAUUCCAUCUCCCCAAAUUCCCAACAAUAACAAUGACAAUCAAGCUACACAGAAGAUCUCCAAAAGAAUCCAAAUUCAAAUUCAUACGCAUCCAAAGAACAUAUCUUUUUAAAGGCUACAUAAACACUUACUGCUUUUCAUCACCACUUUACCCUAUCAAGAUAAACGUGAGAGUCUAAAACACAUCAUACCACUGCUAAGACAAAUAUCAAACAUCCCAAAGAAAGAUCAAUAGCCAAGAUGUCAACAGCACAUCAGAAGCAGCCCAAUUGCUGAGGCAGCUUCCCUAACUGUAACAGAAACUAAUAACCCUCAACAAUUCAACCCACUAAUCAGCCAGAAAUGGAAAUUGAAACAGCAAGCACAAAUUCAUAAAAGGAAACAAACUAAACUCAGACCAAAUCUUGUGUAAUAUAGCUCAGAAACCAAGCCCAAACAGCAAGAACAAUUUACCAAAGAUUAAAAACUUGUAUCUGAACUUACAAAGGAGAAAUUCCUUGAAUAAUAGUUACAAAGAUGGUGACUUUGGUUGGAAAUUGAUCCUGUUCUUUGCAGAGAACGGUGACCCAGAAGACCACUC
rnacentral:misc_RNA from 1 species